GGGAAAUAAGCCAGAAAAUGCCUAGAUUAAUAAUGUUUUGUGUAAAAAAUUAAUGAAGCCAUUCUUGUUAGAUUGAAAGAUAAAAUUGUAAAUGAGAGAAUCCAGGCAAUCCUGCCUGUUUUGAGACUUAACACCUAUGAAUAAUGACUUGUCCCAUAAGUUAAAAGUAUGUGCAACUUCAUAGUUUUUUGUUUGAUUUUUAAAUUCACAGUAGUUGAAUUAUUCCUAUUAAAUAUAUAAUUUAUGAGAGAAGAAAGUAUGUAUGAAACACACCCACCCGCCCAUUUAAUGAUACAUCAUUCCAAUAGCAAUUCCCUGACACCAGCUGAAUGUCCUACAAUGCAAUUCAAUUUUGUUACUAAUUGCCUGAAGUUAGCACAGUUGCCACAGGUUAAGCGCUCAGUCCCACAGGACUGCCUCCAUUUCAGAUGCCAGCCACAAGUCUCAGGUAUUCCCGACCUACUUGGACUUCUUACAGGCUGACUCCAUAUUUGGGCAUUCCCAUGACCUACUCCCCAAGUUUGAUAAUUUGCUAGAAUGACUCACAGAACUUAGGAAAGCACUAUAUUUACUACUACAGUUUUUGUGUAAAGGAUACAACUUGGGAACAGCCAAAUGGAAGAGACACGUAGGGGAAGGUAUGGAGGACAUAGGGUGCAAAACUUUCAUGCCCUCUCUGUGCCACCCUCCCAGCACAUUAAUGUGUUUGGAAGCCCCUUGAGCCAGAUCAUUUCAAAGUUUUUAUAUGAGGUUUCAUUGAUCAGACAUGACUCAUUAAUCAUUAAUCACUAGUCACUUAUUUGAACUCAGUCUCCAGUUGUUCUCCCCUUGUCAGAGAUAGUGAGAUGGGCUAAAAGUUUCAAUCCUAUAAACACCUAGUUGGUUUUUCUGGUAACCAGCCUCCAUCCUGAAGGUACCUAGGGUCCCUCUCUAUCUCCCAACCCCUAUGAGUCACCUCAUGAACAUAAACUCAGGCAUAAUUGAAAGGGAUAUAUUAUGAAGUAUAAAAGACACCUCCUAUCAGGAAAUUCCAAGGGUUUUAGGAGCUUUCUUCCAGGAACCAAGGACAAAGAAUAAAUAUAUUUUUUAUUAUGCCACAGAAGAGUAAUAAGACGAACAUACAUACCCAGCAUCCAGAUUAAGAAACAUAACAUAAAGGUAUCUUUUAAGCCUCUUGUGUUCCUUUGUGAAUAUAUUUCCCCUGCUUCCCAGAGGAAACCAUUAUCUUGAAUUUUGUGUUAUCUAUUACCUUACUUGUCUUCAGAGUUUAUUAUAGUUUUAAUGCUAUCUAGCGGUAUAUCCGAAAUAAACCUCUUUUUGACCUUAAUAUAAACGGAGUUGUAGUGCAUGUAUGCUUUCAGUGGUUUAUUUUCUUAAUAAAUAUAGAACAUAUCAUUUGUUAGAUAAUUGUAUUGGGCCAUUCGUGACUACUUUUUUUGUCUUUUUGUUUUCUUAAGAUUUUGCUCUUAGCUUUGAGAAUUUCAUUUCUUUAACAUGGACUAGUGAUAUAUUAGGUAACAUGUACUUAACAGAACUGAAAAUCAUACUUUAAAAUUAUUUAUUCUGAAAGUCUUCAAAUAUACACAAAAGUAAAGAAUUGUAUAAUGAACCCAACAACCCAACACCUAGUUUCAACCAUUAUCAAGUCCUCCCCCUCCCCCCGGUAAUACUCAUUCACAUGUACACACACUCUACCCUUCUCUCAGCCAGAAUUAUUGUGAAGGAAAUGUAUGACCCUGUAACAUUUUUAUCUAAUAUCUAAUAUUGAGUGUUAAGAUUUUUAUAAUUAUUGCCAAAAAAUGUUUUUUACACUUGUUUCUUUGAAUUAGAAGCUAAACUAUGUCCACAUAUUUCAUUUUAUUGAUAUAUCUUUGUCUCUCUUAAUAUAUAACAGAGUCUCCCUUUUUUUUGUUGUUGACAUUUAUUUGUUGUAGAGAUUAGGUCAUUUGUCUGAUUGAAUUUCCCAUAUUCAGGAUUUGGCUGUUUCCAUCCUCAUACAAUCUUUCAACCUGUUCUAUCAUGUUUAUUUUCUGUAAACUAAUAGUAAAAUUUAGAUGCUUGAUUAGGUUCAGGUUUGACUACUUCUUAUGCUUUUUAUGCGGUAGUUUAUAAACAUCCUAUUGCAUCAUAUGAGGAGGUGAAAGGCUUCAAUAAUAUUUUUGAAACAGUGUCCUAAUAUAUAUGGAUUAAGGAUUAUAGAGCAAUAAUAUAUAAUUUCCAUAAGCUGGGUUGCUCUGUAGUCAUAUCUCCUCUAACCUCCUUUCUGGUUUUAGAUGGAGAAGCUAAGGUCCAGAAAGUUAAGUAUUUGCCAAAGGUCAGAUGGCUAAUUUAAUAGUAAAAGUAGAGCUCUUUUUCACCUCUCACUGCUUUUAAAAUUUUGUCUCAUAAAUCUUUGAUAUCUGUGGAUCAGAAAGAAUUCUGUUUGAGGUAGUCAGAAUAGCAUUUCUGCGUAUUCAACUAGAACAGGAGUUUUGGCCAGGCGCGGUGGCUCAUGCCUGUAAUCCCAGCACUUUGGGAGGCCGAGGCAGGCGGAUCAUCUGAGGUCAGGAGUUCGAGACCAGCUUGGUUAACGUGGUGAAACCCCAUUUCUACUAAAAAUACAAAAAAUUAAUGGGGUGUGGUGUCAGGUGCCAGUAAUACCAGCUACUUGGGAGGCUGAGGCAGGAGAAUUGCUCGAACCUGGGAGGCAGAGGUUGCAGUGAGCUGAGAUGGCGCCAUUGUGCUGCAACUUGGGCAGCAAGAGCAAAACUCUGCCUCAAAAAAAAAAAAAAAAAAAAAUAGGAGUUUUGUGACUGAGAAGUUAAGACAUAGUGAAGGUUCAACUCAUUGAGUGGUUCUGUUUUUGCACUGCCUGUGUGGUAGCUAAGACUUGAAUUUGAAAGCAAUAGUUAGAGGGGUUAGAUAGGAUCUAAGCCUGAAGGCUGGUAAAUCCAGGAUAGGAACAAUGCAAGAAAAUCUUUAUAGGCUAUAAUAGUAGUUGGUCAUUUAGUCCUAAAUAAUUUUUAUCUGUGGUACUUAUUCACCUCAUUUUUAUAUACUAGUAUUUUGCUUCCCAUAUUAAUUUCUACUUGUCUUAUAAAUGUUAAGUAUAAAUUAAUCUUAAUUUGAAGAAAAUGAAUUAUGGAACAAAAUACAGGAAGUGAAAACUAGAAGGAGGUAGCUUUCCUCUAUAAAUUAUGUGACUUAACAUAAAAAAUCAAUGAUGUGGAAAAGUCUUCUACAAGCCUGGUUACACAUCACAGAAAUACCUUACAGUUGCUUCAUCUGUUUGAUGCAUAAAGUGUUUUGUAGUGGCAGGCCCACUGCUUUUUUUUUUCGUGAUUCCUAGUGAACUGAUGGGAAUUUGUGCAGACAAUGAUUGUAGGUAUAUGACAAAUUAAUUUAUCAUUAAAACCAUAACUGACUGGGUGCGGUGGCUCGUGCCUGUAAUCCCAGCACUUUGGGAGGCCGAGGCAGAUGGAUCACAAGGUCAGGAGAUCGAGACCAUCCUGGCUAACACGGUGAAACCCCGUCUCUACUAAAAAUACAAAAAAUUAGCGACGCAUGGUGGCAUGCGCCUGUAGUCCCAGCUACUAGGGAGGCUGAGGCAGGAGAAUAGUGUGAACAUGGGAGGCGGAGCUUGCAGUGAGCCAAGAUAGCGUCACUGCACUCCAGCCUGGGCGACAGAGUGAGACUCUGUCUCAAAAAAAAAAACCCAAAAAACCCAUAACGUUGAUAAUCUUCUAAGAUGAUAGAAAUGAGUUGAUAAGGAGAAAAGAAGGUUUUAUGAUUAAAAUGAAAGUUUCAUGAGUAAUAACUUUAUUUUGUAAGGAAAAAAGUUAUGAUUACAUAUAAUUUCACUAAUAUAUAAAUGUAAAGUGGAGAAAUAAUCCCAAAUAAAUACAAUAUAAUAAAAAUUGGGGGACAUUUUAUUUAAAGUGAUGAGUGUGCUUUGUAUUCAUAAGUUGAUUUCAGUUUGGGAUCUCAAGUGCAGUUCUCACAUACCUGGUACAGUGUUAACUCUGUUUCUUUGUUUUUGUGGGUUAAGAAUUAAAAGUACCAAUAGCGGUACUACAUUCAUGCCACUUAGCAAUGAACAAUCCUAUUUCCUCCAAAAGAAUGAUACAUCAUUAUGACAUAGGGCUAGAGAGUUAAAAAAAAAAAUUAAAUAACGAUGCAUUUGAUAUUUCAUAAUCAUUCUUUAGUAUUUACAAGUAAAUACUACUUUACUUGAAGUAAGCUACAAUAUUUCCUAUUCUGCAGGCACCAAGUAUAACUCAGUUUUUGAUUCAGAGUGUUGGAAAACAAAUCUAUCCAGUUUUUUCCUUGAAUGUAUCAAUUUUUGUUCUGGCAUGUAAUGGUUAAAAGUAUGAUACAGGCCAGAAACAAUAAAAAAUGGACAAAAUAUAUAAAACAAUGUUUUCCAAGAUAUUGGAUAUCAGGCAAUGAAGGACAGUGAACCUUGAUCAAUAGGAAACAAAGUGAGUCCUAUGAUUGCCUCAGUUUAUUGCCUUGGGAGAAUUUCUAAGCCAUAGUACAGGGAGAGGGGAACAUAUGCAGCCUAGUGGAAUCCCUCUGUUGAUAGAGCCUGGAGCCUGGUGAAACCAGUGCAGCCAGAGUUUGCUAGAAGGGAGAGAGCUGCCUAGAGAGAGGAUUCUAGUGAUCUGGAAUGAAUCUCUCCUGAUUCUUCAGGUAAGUAUUGAUCACUGUAUGCAUGUGAGGAAAUGACCUGAGGCCAAGGAAAGGAUCAUCCAAAAAUAUUACAGUACAGUCUUGGAUCACAUAAAGACAUUUUGUUCAAUGAUAGACUGCAUAAGAUUAUAAUGGAGCUGGAAAAUUCCUACCACCUAGUGAUGUCAUAGAUCUCAAUGAUGAUGUCUUAUGUGUCUGUGGUGAUGCUGGUCUACUGUCUUGCUGAUACGUUUAUCCUUAUUUUAUCUUUAUUUUUUUUGAGAUGAGGUCUCACUCUGUUGCCCAGGGUGGAGUAGAGUAGUGCAAUCUUGGCGCACUGCAGCCUCGACCUUCUAGGCUCUGGUGAUCCUCCCACCUCAGCCUCCCAAGUAGCUGGGACUACAGGCACGCGUCACCACACCCAGCUAAUUUUUUGUAUUUUUUGUAGAGACAGGAUUUUGCCAUGUUGUCCAGGCUGGUUUCAAACUUGUGGGCUCAAGCGAUCCGGCUACCUCGGCCUCCCAAAGUGCUAGGAUUACAGAGAUAGAGUUUUGCUCUUGCUGCCCAGGCUGGAGUGCAAUGGCACAAUCUUGGCUCACCGCAACCUCCACCUCCCGAGUUCAAGCGAUUCUCCUCCCACAACCUCCUGAGUAGCUGGGAUUACAGGCACCCGCCACCACGCCUGGCUAAUUUUGUAUUUUUAGUAGAGACGGGGUUUCUCCAUGUUGGUCAGGCUAGUCUCAAACUCCUGACCUCAGGUGAUCCGCCUGCAUUGGCAUCCCAAAGUGCUGGGAUUACAGGCGUGAUAAAUUGACCAUCUUAUACCAGGAAAUCAAAUGAGAAGACAUCAGUAAAAAUAUUCUGGCCUACUCAUGUUUUAUUUAUCAUAUCCUCAUCAUUAAUUGCUUCUCGUAAUGCCACAGUUUGUCAUGGUAUUUGUGGCAGCAGGCAAAGUCCUUGUUCAGACUUUGAUUAAAUUGCUGUGGCAUUUUUCUAUUAAAAAGAUCUCCUGUUUCAA